rnacentral:rRNA from 1 species
UACGAAGGGUGCAAGCGUUACUCGGAAUUACUGGGCGUAAAGCGUGCGUAGGUGGUGAGUUAAGUCUGUCGUGAAAGCCCCGGGCUCAACCUGGGAAUGGCGAUGGAUACUGGCUCGCUAGAGUGCGGUAGAGGAGAGUGGAAUUCCCGGUGUAGCAGUGAAAUGCGUAGAGAUCGGGAGGAACAUCAGUGGCGAAGGCGGCCUGCUGGGCUGUUGCUGACGCUGAGGCGCGACAGCGUGGGGAGCAAACAGG